AAAAUUAAUAAUUUUUAUUAAAAAAAUUCAAGUUUUAGAAAUAUAUACUACUAAAUAAAUAAUUUUUAAAAUAAAUCUCUCAAAGUCUUAAGAUAUUUUUAAUUAAAAAUAUUAUUAUUAUUGUAAGAGAUUUUAGUCGAAGAACUUUUGAUGAAGAUCCCCUCAUUUUUCUAAAUAAAACAUUUUUUUAGCCUUGAUGCAAAAUAUGUCCGGAUGAACUAGAUGGUUUAACGGUUGACAUUUUCCAGGGUUUUCUCUCUUCUUUUCCUUUGUUCUCUUUCUUGGAUCUUUCGGCUGGCUCUUGGCUCUGACGACGGUGCGUCAUCUCCUCGAUGCGGUCGUUGGCUGGCUCCGGAGACCAAGCCAUCUUCUUCGGUGUUGGUCUGCCGGCUCUUGGCUCCGAUGACGGUCGCUCUUACUCUUGUGACGUUGCUGGUUUACUACCGGUUAUCUUCCGGUUCUGUUCGAUCUUCGCUUGCGUGUUCUUCUUGAUUCCAUCGAACCCGAUCUCAUCAGGCGAUUGUUUCGGGCUUCUUCCAAGGUAAAUUUAUGUUUGUGAUCGCUGGUUGUUCGAUUGAAGUAGUAUGAAGCGAAGAAACUUUGGUUUGAAUUCUGGAUCGCUUGGUGGCUUUGCUUGGAGUUGAUUGUCGAUCAGGGUUGAUUGGCUUUUCCAUGCUGGAGCUCAAGCGUUAUAAUUGAUGGUUUUGUGGCUCUUCAAUUGCAAAUAGUUUGUUGGUUUCCGUCGUUAUGUCUCCGGUGAACAGAGAUGUGAGCUCCAGCAACUACUUUCAGGUCGGUGGGGAGAUUGACUCUCAGCUUGUCAUGCAUCCGUCUAGUUCAACAUGUGUUUGGGGAGUCAUCCUUUUUUUUUUUGGGCCUUUUUAUGUUCUGGGUUUUUCUGAGCCCACAUUUUGUUGGUUGUUUAUAUCGAUUGGAAUUUGAGUCUCUUCUUGUUUAUUUAUUUUUGUGAUGGACUUUAAGCUUUUAAUAAUAAAAGGGAAAAAAAAAUUACAUGGU
rnacentral:lncRNA from 1 species